GCAUUGCGGAGCUCGCUAGUUGGGGCGUUGGCCUUCCUUAGGAGUGUGAGUCUAGCGUUAUCCCUUUUUUCCGGCUGGAUCCCGGGUUACCCCACCAGCCCGACCUCAACCCACUCACGUCCACAGCACGAGCCCCAGCGGCCUUGCGCGGUGCUUGCUCUCUAGUAGCGGCUGACUAGGUUAGUUCACUGAUUGAGAAGCGUUUUGCAGGACUCGUGCCCUGAGACCUUUCUGGUUGCAGAGAGUGGCCAUGGAGGCCUCCUGUCUCCGAACUGCCUCCUCACCAGCCUCCUCAUCUGGCUUCUGCAUGCAACCGCCACCUCUCGAUGUAUUUAUCUUUCAGUGGCAUAUUUGUAUAAUUUAAAUUUAGUAGAUCCUUUAAAAAAUGUAUGUUAUAAAAGUUUAAAACUCAAAACUGAAGAGAAUAUAAUCUUGUCAUGGCUUUUCUUGCACAUUCAGAGCAAGCGGCUCUGCCUUCCACCUUGCUCUCUGCUGUGUGGCCAGGCUUCUCUCAGUGCCCUUGGUACAUUUCCGGAGUCCCCUGUGCCCGGUAGAACUCUCGCCUGUAAGCUGUGCUUUGCUUGUGUUCACUUCAAUGUAGACAGAUGGCUAGGCCUCGUUCCAGCCGCUCCUUUGCAAAGGAUAUGGAUUCUGUUUUCUCCUCAGAAGUGUGACCCAGGGCCCUAUCCAGGGCACAGUGACAGUGGGGACAACCCCGGGUCUCAGGCUCUUCCUCCAGGGCCCCAGCUAGCGUCCCUCUGGCCCGUGCUCUGCAUCUUGCUGGAGAGGUCUCUGCUCUUGGAUUGUGUUUUGACUUUGCCUGAGCUUCCAGCUCAACCCCCUCAGACAACAUUUCUCCAAAGCAGGAACGAUUUGUGGAAAUUCUCAACAUUUUUUUCACUCUGUUUUGGGGGCCUAGGGUCCAUGAUAGGGAGCUAUGCCAAGUCAUGGCAGAGUGUUCUUUUUCUGUUUUCUUAUUUCAUUAUGGUAGCAUGAAGUUGUACACGUUUCUGUAUUGGGUUCUUGCUCUUGCUCUUUUUGCUGCUGUCAAUAAUUAUUGUUGAUUACAUCAGAUGUUGGAGGAGGUGAAUUCUGGGUGCCUGUUUUACUUCACAGCCAUUGCUGUUUUAAUAAGAAGAUGGGGCUGGCUAACACGGUGAAACCCCAUCUCUACUAAAAAAUACAAAAAAUUAGCUGGGCAUGGUGGCGGGUGCCUGUAGUCCCAGCUACUCAGGAGGCUGAGGCAGGAGAAUGGUGUGAACCCGGGAGGCGGAGUUUGCAGUGAGCUGAGAUGGCGCCACUGCACUCCAGCCUGGGCUACAGAGCGAGACUCCAUCUCAAACAAAAACAAACAAAAAAAAUAAAAAGAUGGGGAAUUAAAAUAUCAUGCCCUGCCAUCUUGUGAUCCUUUUAACUCAGGAGUCCUUUUUAACUGGAAAACACAGAGAUGUCUCUACUAUUUCAAGAAGCUAUUAGAUAUGUCCUGUUUUUCUAUGCCAUUCACUUCCCCUGAAUUGCUCUGAGACCUACCCUGUGCUCGUUGGUGCAGUGGGAGUGAUCUAACCUUUAAGGGGAUAGCUGUUCCAGCCUACCGAGAUGACCCCACUAAACACGGGGUAAUGCUAGCCGGGAGAGAAACCAAAACAGUAGAAAAAUGAAGGAGCCAGCAGGUUUAUUGUAAAGAGUUUAAUUGCCUACUGUUACAGACAGAAAUGGAAGCAAGUGAGGAAAAUACAUAUAGAUGCUUUUGAACCAAGUUUCCUAACUCCCAGGACAGACAUUUUUUCCCCCAUUUUAUCUGUAUGCUUUUCUGCCAUCCCUUACUGGCCCCUGGAUGGUUACUUUCUGUUUUUAGAAAUGGGAAAUUAAUACCUAGUCCUCAGGUUAGUUCAGUUCAGUCUAAGAAUUGAGUAUCAAUGAAGGACAUAAUUUAUUCACUGUACAAAAGACCACCCAGCUACAAUGCCCAGCUUCAUCAGUUAUAACUGGGAUUAAUUAAGUGGAUUUUCAUAUCUCCUCCCUUUUUAUUGUUCAUAAAGCUUCCCACCUAAGACUGAUAGUGCUGUCAACAGCUCUGUUGAGGCCAGGCACAGUGGCUCAGUUAUCCCUGUUAUCUCAGUGCUGUGGGAGGCCGAGGCAGGAGGAUCAAUUGAGGCCAGGAGUUUGAGACCAGCCUGGGCAACAUAGUGAGACCCUGUCUCUACAAAUAAAAAUAAAACCUAGCAGGGCAUGGUGACAUGCUCCUGUGUCCUAGCUACUGAGGAGGUUGAAGUGGGAGGAUCUCUCGGGCCCAGGAGUUGAAGGCUAUAGUGAACUAUGAUUCUAGCCUGGGUGACAGAGCAAGGCCCUGUCUCUCUGUUAAAAAACAAAAACAAACAGAAAACAGCUCUGUCCAAGGGGUUGGGAGAUCCUCGAUGAAGGAAGAGAAGAUAAUUGGUUGGGUCUGGAGUAUACAAGGACUUCAGGUUCUAGCCAUGGCGGAGAAACUGGAGCAAGACCUGCACUCCCAAUACCAAAAAUGAGAAAACUGGACAAAAUAUGGGAAACAACUCUUUCAGACACUGGGAAACAGGAAAUACAAGACUAUGAUUCAUAAGGGGAGGGUAAAAAAAUAAAGUGAGUCUACCCCCUCAGAAUUCUGCUUGAAAGGCAGUUUUCAAACCAAAGCCACAAGGUAAGGGGAAAAGAUUAUAUGCAGAGAAUGGUAAUUAUUACUGACCAGGAAGAUAGAGAUGGGUGGAAUUUCUAGGGCAUACUAGCAUAGAGGAGGGUGCUAAAUGGAAAAAGAGCUCUAGAAAUCUGCAAAGAGCUCCCAUUGCAUCUAUUGAGGAAAACCAAUAGUGCCUAUGUAAGAUGCAACACCAUGAGGCUGGGCUAACAAUGACCAGGAGCUGUAAGAUGAACAAUUCGCAGAGGACACAAGGGCUGGGAGACUAUGAGUUCUAACCAGCCAGGUGGAGAGUCCUCCUUGACUGUAUGGGACAUUUAGUGGAAACCUCAGGAGGGUGGCAUCUUAGUAACAGGGCUAAAUUUGCCAUAGUGUAAAGAUUUAUACAAAAAAAGGAAGGAAAAAAUUAAAGCUACACACUUGAAAUUAAAAAUUAUGUUUGACAUCCACUGAAAAUUACAAAACAUGCAAGAAAGCAGAAAAAUGUAGACUUGUAACCAGGAGAAAAAUCAGUCAACAGAGGCAGAUGCAGAGAUAGCAGAGAGGAAAGACUUAAGUGAGUGACUUUAAAAAUCAUUUGUAAAAAUAAGCCCAAGGAUUUAAAGAAAAUUAAACAUAAUGAAAAAAUCAAUAGAAAAUGUUUUAACAAGAACCAAACAGAACUUCUAGAGCUGAAAAACAUAUCUAGAAUGAAAAAUAUCCACUAUAGGUGUAACAUCCAAUGAGAACUUCAGAAGAAAAGAUCAGUAAAUUUGAACACAGCAAUAGAAACUAUGAUAGUAGAAGCACAGAGAGAAAAGGAGAUUGAAAAUGAGCCCAACAUUGGUGAACUGUGGGCAGAAAUAUAUUGGCAAAUUUUAACAAAUACCUUUAUGGAGAAAAAAGCCUCAAUCCAUAGCAUUGGCCAAUUUUCAUGAUGUAAAUAUUCCCACUCUGGCUGAUUUCAAGGUGCCAAUGUGACAUCAAUGAAUACAAAAUUUUCCAAAUUUGACUAAUUAUAAACUGACGUAUCCAAUAAGCUCAAAAAACCUAAAUAAAAGACAUAGUAGAAAAAGAUAAUCUUAAAAAGCCAAAUUUUAAAAAGUACACAUAUAUACAGAGGACUAAAGAUAAAACCAAGAGCAGAUAUAUCAUAGGAAGCAAUUAAGGGCAGAAUCACCUCUUUAAACCACUAGUUGGGGUGGGGAGUGAGAGGAGGGAGUAUGAACCUCAAAUUCCAUAUCCAUUGGGAAUGUUCUUCAAAACCAAGGAAUUAUACUUUCUUCAUCAGAAAGCUAGAAAAAAUGAGAAUAUUAACACCAAAGUAAGUAGAAAGAAGCAAAAAGUAAAGAUAGACUUUUAAUAAAACAAGGGUCAGCAAAUCACAACUUUUCAGGCAAAAAUAUGGCUUCACACUGUUUUUGUGAAUAUUUGCAUUUGAAAAUAGUCCCACUCAUUCAUUUACUUAUUGUUGUCUAGUGCUGCCUUACAAAUCAUAUGGCCAGCAAACCUAAAAUAUGUAUUAGUUAUUUACAGAAAAAUUCGCUACCCCUAGAAACAGACAACAGAGAUAAAUCAAUACAACUAAAAGGAUUCUUCAAAAAAUCAAUCUCGAUAAAUCUAUUGCUAAACUGAUCAGAAAAAAAAUAGAAAUUUCCAAUAUUAGGGAUGAAAGAAAAGACAGUGCUACCAGUCCUACAAACAUUAAAUGGGUAAUAACAGUACAAACAAAUUUAUGCCAUUAAAUUUGAUAACUUAGAAUCAAUGAAAAAAGUGUACAACAAAAAUUGUUGCUAGAAAAUCUGAAUAGCUCUAUAUGUAUUAAAGAAAUUGAAUUCAUAAUUUCCUUCUUACAGCAAAACUCCCAGGCCCAAAUGUCUUCACUGGUGAAUUUUAUCAAACAUUUAAAAAAGCAAUAGUAAUUGUAAUAAAACAUAACCUCUCUCAGAAUAUAAAAAGAACCCUUUCCAACUCAAUUUUUGAAGCCAGCAUCAUGCUGAUACCAAAACCAGACAAAUACAGAAAACUUUACACCAAUAUUCUUCAUGAAUCUAGAUGCAAAAAUCUUUAACAAGAUAUUAACAAAUAGAAUCCAUCUAUGUAUAAAAAGGACAAUAUAUUACAAUCAGGUGGAACAUUUCUUAGAAGUGCCAGGUUGUCUUAAUAUUUGAAAAACCAAGGCAACUCCUCACAUUAAUAGGAGGGGAAAAUGUUUUUUUCUCCCUUAGGACUAGAAGAAAAAGUGCACUUGACAAAAUUUAGCCACAUUUAUUACAAAAACUUUCAUCAAAGCAGGAAUAAAAAGAAACUCUCAAGCUUAUAGAGGGCACUUUUAAAAAUGUGCAGCUAACAUCAUACCUAAUGGCAAAAGACUGAACUUAUUUUCUCUAAGAACAGGAGCUAAGAACAGGAACAGAGCUGAUGCUGGUACAAUUAUAUAUCUGUAUGGAAAAAAAAAAAAACUUUAGUAUUUCCAACAUAUGAUACACAAAAGUUAACAUGAAAAAGAUCAUGGAUGAAAAUGCAAAAAGUAAAACUAUAAAACUUCUAGGAAAAAUGUAGGAGAAAAUUUUUGUGAUCUCAAUGUAGGCAAACAUUUUUGAGGUAAUAAAUCUAUAAUUUUUUUUUUUUUUUUUUGAGACGGAGUCUCACUCAGUCACCCAGGCUGAAGUGCAGUGGCGCGAUCUCGGCUCACUGCAAGCUCCACCUCUCGGGUUCACCCCAUUCUCCUGCCUCAGCCUCCCAGGGAGCUGGGACUACAGGCGCCCGCUACCACGCACGGCUAACUUUUUGUAUUUUUUUUAGUAGAGACAGGGUUUCACCGUGCUAGCCAGGAUGGUCUCAAUCUCCUGACCUCAUGAUCCGCCCGCUUCAGCCUCCCAAAGUGCUGGGAUUAUAGGCGUGAGCCACUGCGCCCGGCCCACAAAUCUGUAACUUUAAAAAAUGAUAAAUUAGACUAUCAAAAUUUAAAAUGUUUGCUCCCCAAAGGAUACUAUUAAUAAUAUAAAAAGGCAGGUCACAAACUAGGAAAAAAAUAACGAUAUAUAUAUGUGACAAGAUACUUUUAUAGAGCAUCAUAUAUAAAGAAAUCUUAUGAUUCAAUAAUUAGAAGAUAAAUAACCCAAUUUUAUAAAGUGAGAGAAGCAAAUGAAUUAAACAGACUUUAACCAAAGAAUAUAUACAAAUAGCCAAUAGCCACAUGCAAAGAUGCUCAGCAUUAUUAGUUAGCAGGAAAAUGCAAAUUAAACUCAUCAUGAGUCACCUCCACACACCCAUUAGAAUCAAUGUUCAAAAGGAUGAUCAUACCAGAUAUUGACAAGGACAUGGCUCAGCCAGAGCUCUCACUGAUUGCCGUGGGAAUAGAAAAUGGUGUAACUGGCCAGGCGCGGUGGCUCACACCUGUAAUCCCAGCACUUUCGGAGGCCGAGGCAGGUGGAUCACUUGAGGUCAGGAGUUCAAGAUGAGCCUGGCUAACAUGAUGAAACCCUGUCUCUACCAAAAAUACAAAAAUUAGCCAGGUGUGGUGGCAGUCACCUGCAAUCCCAGCUACUCGGAAGGCUGAGGCAGGAGAAUUGCUUGAACCUGGGAGGUGGAGGUUGCAGUGAGGUGAGAUCGUGCCACUGCACUCCAGCCUGGGCAACAGAGCAAGACUCCGUCUCAAAAAAAAAAAAAAGAAAAAAAGAAAAAAGAAAAUGGUAUAACUAUUCUAGGAAAUACUUUGGCUGUUUUUUUAUAGUUAAAUAUCUACUUACUCUACCAGUAAUUUGCUUCUAGGUAUUUACCAAGAGAAAUGAGAACAUUUGUACACAUUUGUUACACACAUUUGCUCAUAGCAAUCUUAAUAGUCAAAAACUGGAAGCAAGCCAGGUGCCCAUCAACAGGAGACUGGGUCAAUAAAUUGGGGUAUAUUCAUACAAGAGAAUAGUACUGAGAAGGAAAAAUGAAUAAGAUACUGUUAGAUUUAACAAAAUGAAUAGAUCUCAAAAGUGUUAUGUUAAAUGGAAAAAGCAAGUAUUUACACAGACACAAAAGAGUACAUGCUAUAUAAUUCCUUUUAGAUGAAAUUCUUAAAAGUCAGAACGGACAUAAAGCAGAUCAGUGGUUGCCUGGACAAGAGCUGGGGUGAGCUUGCCUGUAAAUAGGUACAAGGGUACUUUGGGAGGUGAUGGAAAUCUACAUGUUGUGUUGAGGUUGACUGGGUGUAUACAUUCGCCAAAACCCCUUGAACUGAUAUAAAGGUGCAGUUUAUUGAAUAUAAACUACACCUCCAUGCAGUUUUUUAAGAAGAGUUUAUGUGUAUUUUCUCCUGUUUGAGCUUUGAAAGAACAUUCCAAAGCUCCUAAAUGCUUUGGAAUCCCAAAGCUCCAAAAAUGUUUUCUAUUAGAAAACAUUUAGAAGUGCUCAAAGUAGCAAAAGAUUUGCCUAGUUUUAUCGGAAGUAUGGAGAAAAGACACAAGAUGGCGGUGUUACUCAGAGAAAGCAAAAGUGUAUGGCGUCUUUCUCAAUAAAGUCUCAUUUCACCUGGCAGUUCUUCACGUCAUUGACACGAUUGUCCUCAGUACUUUCUUCUCCAGGUGCUUAUGGGAGUCUUCUCUAAUAUACUUAAUUACUGUCUACACUCAAUAACUACGUCACGGAUCCUUUAAACAUCUCAAGAGCUUUUGUUUUUCUGUUGUUGUUGCAAAUAAAAGUGAAAAAUGUAAAUAGUUUGCAAUCCAGUAAUCUAUUUCGUUAUUAGGGAGACUCAUGUCUACUGCGGUUUGUUACUCCAUAAUGGAAGCCCCUGAGAAGUCGCCUUACCUCUGGGAAGAGCGCUUUGCUUCCCAGAGAAUCUGAUUCGCAUUUCAGGCAGUCAGCCACUGGAGGGCAGUGCAGAAGCGUGAAUGCCCUCACCUGCUCGGAGGCGGGAAACCCUGCAGCAACUGCGUCUUCUAAGGGAGCCUAGGACCAGGUUAUUAGCAGAGGGGAAAAGAAAAUGAAUCCAUUCUGGAAACCAUCCGUUUGAUUCAGAAUGUUUUGUGUAAGACAGUAUUUCUUGGGCCAGGCACAGUGGCUCACGCCUGUAAUCCCAGCACUUUGGGAGGCCCAGGCGAGCAGAUCACUUGAGGUGAGGAGUUCAAGACCAGCCUUGCCAACGUGGUGAAACCCCUUCUCUACUAAAAAUACAAAAAUUAGCUGGGUGUGGUGGCAUGUGCCUGUAAUCCCAGCUACCCAGGAAGCUGAGGUAAGAGAAUCGCUGGAACCCGGGAGGUGGAGGCUGCAGUGAGCCGAGAUCAUGCCACUGCACUCCAGCCUGGGCGACAGAGCAAGACUGUCUUUAAAAAAAAAAAAAAAAAAAAAUUAUUUCUUGGUAAUUACAAAGUUGUGUCCAUCAGACGAACUCUAGAACUCUACAGAUAACUGUGGACUCUAGCCUCCAUGUACAGAGCAGCUAAGUGCAGACUGGAGAGAGGGCAGGCAGGGGCCGGCCGAGGGCGGGGUCCUACAGGAGGAGGAGGUGCCGGUGAACCUCCCAUUUCCACGACUUGUACUCUUGGGGCAGCCCCUGGUCUGUGCCACGUGGAUGGUGAAAGCUCACAUGGAGAACAUCCCACUGCCUUGAAGAACCAGAGGACAAAGUUUAGGACAACCGCAGUCACUGGCUGGGGGGCGGUGUGGGGCAGGGAUCGGGGACUGACAAACAGAAGAGCCGGGAGACAGGGAACCUCAGACCAUGAGUAAAGGCUAACUUCCUAGCUGGGCCAUGCAUGGACCUGACAAGCUUCCCUCGCUAAGGCCCAACCCUGCAGCCCUGAUGGCCCUGCUGCCCCACCCAGGUUCCACGCACUGUGGGGAGAUAAGCGGAAGCUGGAAGAGGGAAACCCUGGGCUUACAGCCUGGUUCUGCUCCCAACCACUACUGCUAAUGUCUUGAGCUUGUUACCAAAGCUCCCUGAGCUUUAGUUUGUUUUCCAGAGAAAAGAUGAAACCAGACCUCUCUCCUAGGGCUGCUUUUGAGGACUACCAGGGAUAAUGUGUGCAAAGCGCCUGACACAGAGGGCUUCACUCUGUCAUUAAUUUGCUUCCCACCUCUUGUUUGUGGUUUCCCUGGAAUCUUGUGACUAACUCCUGUUGCAGGAAGUCAGGGACCCCAAACGGAGGGACCGGCUGAAGCCAUGGCAGAAGAACGUGGAUUGUGAAGAUUUCAUGGACACUUAUCACUUCCCCAGUCAAUACCCUUGUGCUUGCCUAUGCCUGUCUUUACUUUAAUCUCUUAAUCCUGUCAGCCAAGGAGGAUGUAUUUCGCUUCAGGACCAUGUGAUAAUUGCGUUAACUGCACAAAUUGUACAGCAUGUGUGUUUGAGCAAUAUGAAAUCUGAGCACCUUGAAAAAAGAGCAGGAUAACAGCAAUUGUUCAGGGAAUAAGAGAGAUAACCUUAAACUCUUGACCGCCGGUGAGCUGGGCAGAACAGAACCAUAUUUCUCUUCUUCCAAAAGCAAAUGGGAGAAAUAUCUCUGAAUUCUUUUUCUCAGCAUGGAACGUCCCUGAGAAAGAGAAUGUGCGCCUGGAGGUAUAGGCUUAUAAACAGCCCCCCCGCCAGGUGCACCUGUCUCUUAUGGUCGAGGCUGCAGAGAUGAAAUAUACUCCAGUCUCCCAUAGUGCUCCCAGGCUUAUUAGGAAGAGGAAAUUCCCACCUAAUAAAUUUUGAUCAGACCAGUUGAUCACAAAACCCUGUCUCCUGAUAAGAUGUUAUCAAUGACAAUGGUGCCUGAAACUUCAUUAGCAAUUUUAAUUUCGCCUGGGUGCUGUGGUCCUGUGAUCUCGCCCUGCCUCCACUUGCCCUGUGAUAUUCUAUUACCCUGUUAAGUCCGUGAUGUCUGUCACCCAUACCUAUUCACACACUCCCUCCCCUUUUGAAAAUCCCUAAUAAAAACUUGCUGGUUUUUGUGGCUUGUGGGGCAUCAUGGAUCCUACCAACGUGUGAUGUCUCCCCAGGACGCCCAGCUUUAAAAUUUCUCUCUUUUGUACUCUGUCCCUUUAUUUCUCAAGCCGGCCGACGCUUAGGAAAAAUAGAAAAGAACCCACGUGAUUAUCAGGGCAGGUCCCCCGAUAAACUCCGUUUCUGAGAUCAGUUCUAGUGGCAACCCUCCAAGUCAGCUAGGCCUCAGUUCCUGAUCUUACCCGUAAACGCAGUGAGUUUGCUUCUCACAAGCUUUGGUUAUCUUGUCUGUCUCCCUUUUUGAAAUCCAGGUUUGAAGACUAUUCGGCCAUGCUUUUGCAGUGAGCACCAGCUUGCUAGAGCCCCUGGGGGGCCGCAGCCAGCAAGCUGGAGAGUUACCAAUGUUCCAAGAAUGUUUCAGAACCACUUGCUUUGUCAAAGCUUGGCCUUGUGGACUUCCCGUUUUACAUGAGAUUCUCUAGUCUUUGCCCAUCUUCAUUUCCUAUUGCCUCCUAUAUAUUUUUUUCUUUUUCUUUCUUUCUUUCUUUCUUUUUUUUUUUGUCAGUGGCAACUUUUACAUGAUUUUCUGUGAUCAUGCACACAGGGACUAAAAGCACUCACUCUCUCUGCAUCUGGGACCCGUCCUCUCCUCUACCUCUCACUGCAGUCAAUGGUGUUUGCUCCUCUGCCCUUUGCUCUUGCUGGGCCAUGGUGACAGCUUCCUGGCUAGGUUCUCUGCCUUCAUUCAUGGCCCUGUGUGCCAUUUUCCCCGACAUCCAAGACUUAAACUUUUAAAUAUGGUCAUCACAUCAUGUUAACUCUUCACUUUCACUUCUCGCGUAGCUGCUUGCUGUAGCUGGAGUCAAAUCUACCCUCCAAAGACCCCCGGCUCCCUCUCUUCCCCUGACUGGCUGUGCUCUGGCUCUUUCCGACCACACGUGUGUCAAGCUCCUACUAUCAUCCAGGCCUCCCCACGUGCUUGUCCUGUGCUCUAAUCGUCUUUCUACACCCAGCUGCUGCCUUUUAUCAUUCCUGCUUUGGUUCUAUCACCGUCUCCUCAAAGAGGUCUUCCCGGCUGUCCCAACUGAAGUAGUCCUCACUUAGCCUCAGCCCCUGUGUAAGCCAUGGCAACGUUUCAUUUCCUUCAUCACACUUAGCACUGUUGAAAAUUGUCUUUAUUUAUUUGUUCCAGCACCACAAAGUUCAGGUGUAAAAUAGAGUUUACUGGAGGAAAACAAGCCAAGAAGUAGUGGGUUGCACGGUCUCCUUAAGUCGUGUUACUCCUUAGCUCUUAGACAGGAUAUACACAGUCUGGUGCAUCAGGGCCAAGGCACCAGCAAGGAAGGACAAUGUCCCCAUGAUGCUCUGUAUAUUUAUGGUGUGUAUUUAAGAGAAGGGAGCAGGGGAUAUCUGUGGGACCACACACGUUCUCUAGUUGAGAAAGUGGCCUUGUUGGAAGGGAAGGUCCUCCAGAACCUGGCAACCAGACACUGACCCGUCCUCCUAUUAGGCUCGGGUAGAGCGCCUACCAAGUACUCUGCUGAGCUAUUAUAUAAAGGCAGGGAGGAAGUGAGUCCCUGGGGCCAUGCUCUUCUGCCUCUCCUGAGUAAAAUAUAAGCCCCAUUAAGAAACAGAGCUUAUCUUGUUUACCACUACAAUAAUACCAGGCACGUAGAAAGGCAAUCAAAAAAUAUUUAUUGAGUGAAUGGGAGAAUAGCAGAAUGAGUAAUAAUAAAAUCAUGAUUCAAAAGUAACUGAAAUUCAGAGAGAAAGACCAACUUUACUAGAAAUGGUAUCUUGGUAGUGACCUGGAGCUGAUGGGGAGGGGGUGUCUAAUUUACUGCAGCAUUGUAACUGCGCAUAGAAGGCACAGCAGGAGGGCAGCCACUGAUGUGGCUCCAACUCUUAGAGGUUCCUUUCCUGGUUUUAAAUACAUGCCAUGGCUGGGCACGGUGACUCAUGCCUGUAAUCCCAGCACUUUGGGAAGCCGAGGCAGGUGGAUCACGAGGUCAGGAGAUCAACACCAGCCCGGCUAACACAAUGAAACCCUGUUUCUACUAAAAAUACAAAAAAAAAAAAAAAAGCCGGGUGUGCCUGUAGUCCCAGUUGCGUGGGAGGCUGAGGCAGGAGAAUGGUGUGAACCCAAGAGGCGGAUCUUGCAGUGAGCCGAGACCACACCACUGCACUCCAGCCUGGGCGACAGAGCAAGACUCCAUCUCACGAAAAAAAAAAAAAAAAAAAAAAAAAAAGGACACGCAUGUUAGUCCUGCACUGCCCACAGCUUCAUUUACGGAAUUACCACUGUCAAGUUGACAUGUGCUGUCUCUUAAAUUACUCUUCGGUAUGAGAAGCAAAGUUGCAUGUUUAUUUUUGUCAGAGAAAGAGACUGGGAUUCUUUGGAAGACAUAGGCCAAUUGCCCUUCAUACCAAGAAAAAUCUUUCUCAUUCUGACUGUUUUGUUUGUCUCAAACCAGCAUCACAGACUGCCCUGGAUGGGUUUUGGCAACAAGAGUGAUAAUGAAGUCAUUUCCAUGGUGAUAAGGUCAACGUUCUUAAUGCUUACUGCAUCACAAUCAAUUUUUGAAAUGUUUCUAAAUUAGAAAAGUGAAAAAACUUGUUAAAUGAAGGAAAAGUGUACGAUGAGCUAAAUGCUGAGGAGAAUGACUAAUACUCUGCAUGAAAUACUCAUCAAGCACUUGAUCACAUGCACCUCUGGAGGGUUUCUUAUUAGAAGACACUUCCCUGGAGAUGAAGUCAUUCUGGUUGCCCCCAUUUCACAAAUACCAACCUUGGAAUAGAUAUUAUUGACUUGUAAAAUGGACAAAAUUUGUUUUCAAAAUGUCAAUAAAAACUAUUAAGUAAGCAAAACAAAUCUUUAGCAGUCUCUAUCAUGGCCCAUUAGUGGAAUUACUUUUCUCCACCAAUGUAAUAAUCUGUGUUUCAGGUCUCUUAGGAACUGAAAAAAUUACAUAUAAUGGAGAAAUUAUACCUAUUAGGUCACUAUGUGUUUCUACAAGUCAAGUAGUCUGUUGCGGUAGCUUUAAAGCAAUUUUCUCAAGCUAAUGAUUAGUUUAGCACGGUCUUAUCCUCUCUGACAUUUUACACUCCUGACGACUUUUUUCUUAGAAUUCUCCUUAGCGCCAUGUUUCCCCAUUUUGAUGCUGCUCUUUUCCUGCUCCCUGUUGGGGCUUUUAAGUGAUGUUUCUUUCUUUGAUCACCUCCUGAACAUCAAUGAUAGUCCCCAUUUAAUCCAUUCUCCUCUUAUACUUGACACUUUUUUUUUAACCUCAUCUGAUCACAUAGAUUCAAAUUUCACUUAAAUAUAGGCUUUCAGUCAAACUUCUCAAUAACGUUUGUAGCCAUAUCUAAAACUGGACUCAUCUCCACUCAACAGUCCCCCAGGUUCCUCACACUCAACUCACCCACAGCUCCUCCGUCCCCACCACCAACUCCAGGUGCUUCCUUGAUGUCCACAUUGGGAUGGAUGUGAUUCACUUUCCAAUGCUAAGUGUGGGAACCUUUCUGCAUCCCACCCUUUCACUCACCACCGUUCUCAGAAUCCAGCCAUCAACCCAGCAGCCUGCAAUUCCUUAGGAUCUUUUCUUUUUUCCUUCCUAUAUAUCUUAUUCCAACCGGAACCACUGUAAGGCUCAUGCCUGGUCUCCCUAAGCUCAGAAGGCACUCAGCUUCCAGCUGGGAGGAGCGGGCCUCAGUCACCAAGUCUCCUCAAGCCUCUUUGACGAGAUGAGGUGGGACCUCUUCAAUAUUAAUAUGGCUCUACAUUCAUUAUACUUAAAUUACAGAGAGUUUAUCAGGAAGAAAUACAAUUUAUGCUAGUAAAUAUUUCUUCUAUAUAAAAAAUGUGAAAGAAUUUGGGAAUAAAAACCAUGGAAGUGAAAGAUAUGAAUCCUGACCUUCAGAAGGAGUGGGAGUGGGUGAGAAACCAAGAUUGCAGUGACCUGGGUCUGGAUUUUAGCUCCUCCAUUUGUUUGACUGGGGCAAGAUAUUUUAGUUUUGGUUUCUUUGUAAAAUGAAGAGGAACACUUCAGUCAAAGGUACGUUUUGACAUUUAAAUUAUAUUGCAUAUGAAGCAUACAUCCCCAAAACUUGGACAUGGUAGAUUCUCAUCAAAUCAUAAUUAUUAUAACUUAGAAGCACAAGACUUUCAUAAUUGAAAAGUAAAAUAUCAGCAAUAGUUUAAAAUAACAGUUUAAGUAAACAAUAAUAGAAACGCCAUGAGGAAUCCACCCUGUCUGCCAAGGAACAGUGCGGACAGCCAUUCCUCAAGGAGCCCAGAUUGUCUGGAGCGGAAAGAAAUUACAGACAGGAAACCCCUACCUAGACACAGCAGCACCACACACCAAAUGUUCUCUGACUCCUCAGCUCCUGAAAAAGAAGAUUUUGCUACACAAAGCAAAAAAAAAAAAAAGAGAAAGUUUUAUAGAUUUUUAUGGUCUUUAAAUAAGAUUAGGGCCAGGCCCGGUGGCUCACGCCUAUAAUUCCAGCACUUUGGGAGGCUGAGGCAGGCGAAUCACAAGGUCAGGAGUUCGAGACCAGCCUGACCAACAUGGUGAAACCCCAUCUCUACUAAAAAUACAAAAAAUUAGCUGGGCGUUGUGGUGCAUGCCUGUAAUCCCAGCUGCUCAGGAAGCUGAGGCAGGAGAAUCGCUUGAACCCGGGAGGCCAAAGUUGCAGUGAGCUGAGAUUAUACCACUGCACUCCAGACUGGGUGACAGAGCGAGACUCCGUCUCAGGGAAAAAAAAAAAAAAAUUGAAAAGUUAAAAGAUAAGAUUACUCUAAGACUCACCUCUCACCUGUACCCAGGGACUUCUAGGUUUGAAAGCAUUUCCACCACUACUGAUGAUCUAAGGGAGACACUGGGGAAAGUAUAGCUGCAUAAUCCUUCCCUGUGGGUGUCACUCCCUAACCUCCAGGCUCUCCUGGGUGUGGACUGGUUGGGGGAGAUGAUUGGAAACUGCCAUUUGUGUCUACUGCGCACAAUGAUAAGAGAUAAACUUGGCUGGGGCUAUUAGAGGUCGUUUAUUUAGUUCAACAUUUCGUAUACUAAAGAGGAAACCCAAGUUCAGACCGGCUGAGUUGGAAAAGUCACCUAGCUACUGGAAGCAGAGCCAGGCCUAGAUCUCCUAGUCCAAAACUUCUUUUCUCCCACACCACAGCUGCUGCUUUACAUUACUGGGGUUUUGGAAUUUUACUCAUUCAAAUGCAAAUGUUUUGUGUGCUUCUUUAAUGGGACAUUUUUUGUCUUACUUUACUAAGUAAAGUACAGAGUGAAUGAGAGUGGAUUGGAGGUGUUGAAAUCGUCAACCUCUUUUAAAGCAUCGUUAUUUUUCCUUUGUUUCUCUUUAUGAUGUGAAACACUUACUUCUUUUUCUUCCCAGCUUGAAUUGGAGACAGCAGCACAGAUAACUUGACUUUCUUGUUCUAGUGGAUGAUGCAAGUAGUGAGGAUGCGAUUAACGAAAUCAAUGGCUCAUGGGAAAGCCUUCCCAUUUCCAAUCUCACCCCUACUUUAGGAUAUGGUCCAGUGAAUCCGUUGCUAUGAAACAGUGCUGCAGCUGGGCUCAGUGGGGGUCUGGGUGGUCUCACAAAAGCUAGCAAUAGUUGUAACUUGGAGAAAUUAGAAGUGUUACGGGCCGUCCAAUAUCACAUCACUGGGAUAAGUCAUGAUCGUGUGACUUCAUAAAGUUUGCCAUUGACCCAUUCAUCAAUUGGUUAUUGAAGUCAUACUAUAUUCCAG
rnacentral:lncRNA from 1 species